CUCACAUACAAACAGCUGCUGACUGCUUCCUGUCCAGAGGCCCCGCAGCUGCCGCGUGGAUCUCAAAUGCCCCCCAAUCAAGCAGGAAGGCUACUGACCCCCACUCCCACACCGGGAUGGCAGAGUCAGGGUUAGGCCCAAGCUGCUGAGACAGAAUUAAAAGGGGCUGCUGCCAGUGAUGAGGGCUCAGGUCUCCAUAAAGAAGCGUUCUCCAGCCUAGCACCUUGUGCGGACACCCUGGCUCCAGAUCCCUUGGGAAGACCCAGUUGUUCAAGUGAGGUUUGGAUGUCUGAGACUUUGUCCCAUUUGGCUCAGCUGUGGAGUCUAGUGUUUUCCUCUGGAGUCCUUAAGCAGAAAUCAAAACCGCCUCCCCACAAGGAGACCAACAAAGCUGAAAAAUCUGAGCCUAGAUGGUCCUGCAGAGACAGAUGCACCAACUAAGGAUAAUGCAUGGAGAGGAACUGCUCAGAUGAAGCUGAUUGGCAGCUCAGUCUCCAUGUGGGUUCCCUAGUAAGGGGAGCAGUUGCAGUUGCUGCCUCUGUCAUGAACUUGGUUGCCUGCUCUUUGAUCACUUGGCCCUGGAGAUGCGGCCUUACCAGGCCACAGAGGAAGAAGAUCCAGGCAGUCCUGAUGAGACUUGUAAUGGCCACUGUCUUAUGCCUCUAAACUUGGAGUGACCAGAGUAUCUGCUAAGAAGACAGGAACUUCCAGCUGAUGUAUAAAUCCUGUGGAAGAAUAUAUAGUUUGCUGUGCAGUUGACUGGGGUUUACUGUGAGGCCAGAUCAUUAUGUUUAUUGGUGACAAUCUUGAAAAAGUUGUCAAGACCCCAGCCUCAGCUGCCUUCACUGAGCCCUUCUAAGUGCCUCACAGCCAUGGCAAUAUGUUGAGUAUCUGUGGAGAGUCCACAGGUUAUCAGCUCCUCUCUGGAACUGAUCUUGUGAUCUCUAAGAGGAUGUCAUCCUCGAAAGAAUGCCCAGUCAACAUUCCUACAUUGGCUGCAAAAUCAAGGUCUUCAACCAGACUUUGACACUUGAGAACUGCUCUCAGGGACAGUCUCCACAUUUCCGGCCUCUUGUCUAUGGCGACUUCAGACUUCUUACCCCAGGGCCUGGACAACAUGUUGAUUGUUUUGUUAGAGACUAGUUUGUACCAAAGGUUGUACCAGUCACACUCCACUAAUGAGAAACAAUGUGGAGACAAGAUCAGCCUGGUCCAGGAAGCUAGCCUAGCUGGUAACAACCUUGUUAAAGCGCCCGGUAAAUAAAUAAGCAAGCCUUCCAGGCUGUCCUGUCCUCUGCAGAUGAGCUGAACCAGCUGGCCUCAGAGAGAAGCCCUGUGUUUUGUUAACUGGAAACAGAUUAUCAAACUCAAUCAAUGGAGCAUGAAUGGAGCAUGGCCUUGUAACGUAUAAAAAAGAGAAUUUGGGGUGAGAAUUUGUUCAGCAAAGACCAGGCAGCAGAUGUCCCAAAGCUUGGCAUGAAAGUGUUCUGAUGGGUAAAAAUAAUUAAAAAGAAAUCUGGGACUCUCAUUUUUUAACUUUCCUUAUGGAUCUUUGACAAAAAUUUCAGGGGAUUCUAUGGAGUGUGUAUUGUCAGUAUUUUAAUCAGCUUCAGCUGUCAAAACUCUUGUAACCCGCCUCUUCUAUUUAAACUGUAUCUUCUAGGCAUAAAAUAAUUAAAGGCGCAGGGCCAUACAGUAGCUCAGAGCCCUUGCAAUGUGGCAGAACUGUAUGGAUAAAAGGUAUUAUUUCAGGAAGUUUUAAAUAUAAAUUUCGUUUUGUCAGAAGGCUGCAG